GCCGAAGUGGCGGAAUUGGCAGACGCGCUACGUUCAGGGCGUAGUUCCCAUUAGGGAGUGUGGGUUCGACUCCCACCUUCGGCACCA
rnacentral:tRNA from 1 species